rnacentral:rRNA from 1 species
GAUGAACGCUGGCGGCGUGCCUAAUACAUGCAAGUCGAACGCCAACACGAGGAGCUUGCUCUUCUUCGGUUAGCGGCGGACGGGUGAGUAACGCGUAGAUAACCUUCCUCUUAGCCGGGGAUAACUACGGGAAACGAUAGCUAAUACCGCAUCAUACUAUCUACCGCAUGUCUCAUAUGUGAAAGGGGCAUUUGCUGUCCCAUAAAACGGAUGUCGGAUUGGUUAGUUGGUGGGGUAAAGGCCCGCCAAGGCAACGAACCGUAGCUGGCCUGAGAGGGUGAUCGGCCACACUGGAACUGAGACACGGUCCAGCCUCCUACGGGAGGAAGCAGUGGGGAAUAUUGGCCAAUGGGCGAAAGCCUGACGGAGCAAUACCGCGUGGGUGAGGAAGGUCUUCGGGUUGUAAAGCCCUUUUUUUGGGAAAGACCAGCGGGAGAGUAAAACGUGCACGUUUUGACGGUACCUAACCAGAAAGCAACGGCUAACUACGUG